rnacentral:rRNA from 1 species
AUGAACCAACUGACGAGGAGUUUGGCCACCGAGUGGGCCCCUGACAAGAUCCGUGUGAACGGUGUCGCCCCAGGAUUUAUCACAACCGAUAUGAUUAAAGACGUAAGCAACAUAGUACUACCUCUGUUCCAAAUUACCAUGGAUACGGAGUACCUGGAACAGGAGCUCGCCAAAACCCCGUUGCGGCGGAGUGGCAAGCCAGCUGAGAUCGCCUCCGCGGUGGCAUAUCUGUGCAUGCCGGCGGCUUCCUUCAUCACCGGGCAGGUCAUCUGCGUCGACGGUGGUCGGACCAUUAGUGCUUAA